UACGGGGGGGGCAAGCGUUGUUCGGAAUUACUGGGCGUAAAGGGCUCGUAGGUGGCCCGCUACGUUGGACGUGAAAUCCCUCGGCUCAACCGGGGAACUGCGUCCAAGACUGGCGGGCUUGAAUCCGGGAGAGGGACGUGGAAUUCCAGGUGUAGCGGUGAAAUGCGUAGGUAUCUGGAGGAACACCGGUGGCGAAGGCGGCGUCCUGGACCGGUAUUGACACUGAGGAGCGAAAGCCAGGGGAGCAAACGGG
rnacentral:rRNA from 1 species